GUGCCAGCAGCCGCGGUAAUUCCAGCUCCAAUAGCGUAUAUUAAAGUUGUUGUGGUUAAAAAGCUCGUAGUUGAACCUUGGGCCUGGCUGGCCGGUCCGCCUCACCGCGUGCACUGGUCCGGCCGGGCCUUUCCCUCUGUGGAACCCCAUACCCUUCACUGGGCGUGGCGGGGAAACAGGACAUUUACUUUGAAAAAAUUAGAGUGCUCCAGGCAGGCCUAUGCUCGAAUACAUUAGCAUGGAAUAAUAAAAUAGGACGCGCGGUUCUAUUUUGUUGGUUUAUAGGACCGCCGUAAUGAUUAAUAGGGACAGUCGGGGGCAUCAGUAUUCAACUGUCAGAGGUGAAAUUCUUGGAUCAGUUGAAGACUAACUACUGCGAAAGCAUUUGCCAAGGAUGUUUUCAUUAAUCAGGAACGAAAGUUAGGGGAUCGAAGACGAUCAGAUACCGUCGUAGUCUUAACCAUAAACUAUGCCGACUAGGGAUCGGACGGUGUUAUUCAUGACCCGUUCGGCACCUUACGAGAAAUCAAAGUGCUUGGGCUCCAGGGGGAGUAUGGUCGCAAGGCUGAAACUUAAAGAAAUUGACGGAAGGGCACCACCAGGGGUGGAGCCUGCGGCUUAAUUUGACUCAACACGGGGAAACUCACCAGGUCCAGACACAAUAAGGAUUGACAGAUUGAGAGCUCUUUCUUGAUUUUGUGGGUGGUGAUGCAUGGCCGUUCUUAGUUGGUGGGGUGACUUGUCUGCUUAAUUGCGAUAACGAGCGAGACCUUAACCUGCUAAAUAGCCCGCAUUGCUCCGGCAGUGCGCUGGCUUCUUAGAGGGACUUUCGGCUCAAGCCG
rnacentral:rRNA from 1 species